rnacentral:rRNA from 1 species
GUGCCAGCAGCCGCGGUAAUACGUAGGGUGCGAGCGUUAAUCGGAAUUACUGGGCGUAAAGCGUGCGCAGGCGGUUUUGUAAGACAGAUGUGAAAUCCCCGGGCUUAACCUGGGAACUGCGUUUGAAACUACAAGACUAGAAUAUGUCAGAGGGGGGUAGAAUUCCACGUGUAGCAGUGAAAUGCGUAGAGACGUGGAGGAAUACCAAUGGCGAAGGCAGCCCCCUGGGAUAAUAUUGACGCUCAUGCACGAAAGCGUGGGUAGCAAACAGGAUUAGAUACCCUGGUAGUCCACGCCCUAA